UACGGAGGGAGCUAGCGUUGUUCGGAAUUACUGGGCGUAAAGCGCGCGCAGGCGGUCUUCCAAGUCAGUGGUGAAAGCCCGGAGCUCAACUCCGGAACUGCCAUUGAAACUGUGAGACUUGAGUACGAGAGAGGUGAGUGGAAUUCCCAGUGUAGAGGUGAAAUUCGUAGAUAUUGGGAAGAACACCGGUGGCGAAGGCGGCUCACUGGCUCGUAACUGACGCUCAGGCGCGACAGCGUGGGGAUCAAACAGG
rnacentral:rRNA from 1 species